AUUGAACGCUGGCGGCAGGCCUAACACAUGCAAGUCGAGCGGAGCGGCGGACGGGGGAGUAAUGCCUAGGAAUCUGCCUGGUAGUGGGGGAUACCGUCCGGAAACGGGCGCUAAUACCGCAUACUAUCAGAUGAGCCUCGGUCGGAUUAGCUAGUGGGUGGGGUAAUGGCCUACCAAGGCGACGAUCCGUAACCGGUCUGAGAGGAUGAUCAGUCACACUGGAAGUGAGACACGGCCCAGACUCCAACGGGAGGCAGCAGUGGGGAAUAUUGGACAAUGGGCGAAAGCCUGAUCCAGCAAUGCCGCGUGUGUGAAGAAGGUCUUCGGAUUGUAAAGCACUUUUAGUUGGAAGGCGUUACCUACAGAAUAAGCACCGGCUAACUUCGUGCCAGCAGCCGCGGUAAUUC
rnacentral:rRNA from 1 species